UUAAGCGACUAAGCGUACACGGUGGAUGCCCUGGCAGUCAGAGGCGAUGAAGGACGUGCUAAUCUGCGAUAAGCGUCGGUAAGGUGAUAUGAACCGUUAUAACCGGCGAUUUCCGAAUGGGGAAACCCAGUGUGUUUCGACACACUAUCAUUAACUGAAUCCAUAGGUUAAUGAGGCGAACCGGGGGAACUGAAACAUCUAAGUACCCCGAGGAAAAGAAAUCAACCGAGAUUCCCCCAGUAGCGGCGAGCGAACGGGGAGCAGCCCAGAGCCUGAAUCAGUGUGUGUGUUAGUGGAAGCGUCUGGAAAGGCGCGCGAUACAGGGUGACAGCCCCGUACACAAAAAUGCACAUGCUGUGAGCUCGAUGAGUAGGGCGGGACACGUGGUAUCCUGUCUGAAUAUGGGGGGACCAUCCUCCAAGGCUAAAUACUCCUGACUGACCGAUAGUGAACCAGUACCGUGAGGGAAAGGCGAAAAGAACCCCGGCGAGGGGAGUGAAAAAGAACCUGAAACCGUGUACGUACAAGCAGUGGGAGCACGCUUAGGCGUGUGACUGCGUACCUUUUGUAUAAUGGGUCAGCGACUUAUAUUCUGUAGCAAGGUUAACCGAAUAGGGGAGCCGAAGGGAAACCGAGUCUUAACUGGGCGUUAAGUUGCAGGGUAUAGACCCGAAACCCGGUGAUCUAGCCAUGGGCAGGUUGAAGGUUGGGUAACACUAACUGGAGGACCGAACCGACUAAUGUUGAAAAAUUAGCGGAUGACUUGUGGCUGGGGGGGAAAGGCCAAUCAAACCGGGAGAUAGCUGGUUCUCCCCGAAAGCUAUUUAGGUAGCGCCUCGUGAAUUCAUCUCCGGGGGUAGAGCACUGUUUCGGCAAGGGGGUCAUCCCGACUUACCAACCCGAUGCAAACUGCGAAUACCGGAGAAUGUUAUCACGGGAGACACACGGCGGGUGCUAACGUCCGUCGUGAAGAGGGAAACAACCCAGACCGCCAGCUAAGGUCCCAAAGUCAUGGUUAAGUGGGAAACGAUGUGGGAAGGCCCAGACAGCCAGGAUGUUGGCUUAGAAGCAGCCAUCAUUUAAAGAAAGCGUAAUAGCUCACUGGUCGAGUCGGCCUGCGCGGAAGAUGUAACGGGGCUAAACCAUGCACCGAAGCUGCGGCAGCGACGCUUAUGCGUUGUUGGGUAGGGGAGCGUUCUGUAAGCCUGCGAAGGUGUGCUGUGAGGCAUGCUGGAGGUAUCAGAAGUGCGAAUGCUGACAUAAGUAACGAUAAAGCGGGUGAAAAGCCCGCUCGCCGGAAGACCAAGGGUUCCUGUCCAACGUUAAUCGGGGCAGGGUGAGUCGACCCCUAAGGCGAGGCCGAAAGGCGUAGUCGAUGGGAAACAGGUUAAUAUUCCUGUACUUGGUGUUACUGCGAAGGGGGGACGGAGAAGGCUAUGUUGGCCGGGCGACGGUUGUCCCGGUUUAAGCGUGUAGGCUGGUUUUCCAGGCAAAUCCGGAAAAUCAAGGCUGAGGCGUGAUGACGAGGCACUACGGUGCUGAAGCAACAAAUGCCCUGCUUCCAGGAAAAGCCUCUAAGCAUCAGGUAACAUCAAAUCGUACCCCAAACCGACACAGGUGGUCAGGUAGAGAAUACCAAGGCGCUUGAGAGAACUCGGGUGAAGGAACUAGGCAAAAUGGUGCCGUAACUUCGGGAGAAGGCACGCUGAUAUGUAGGUGAAGUCCCUCGCGGAUGGAGCUGAAAUCAGUCGAAGAUACCAGCUGGCUGCAACUGUUUAUUAAAAACACAGCACUGUGCAAACACGAAAGUGGACGUAUACGGUGUGACGCCUGCCCGGUGCCGGAAGGUUAAUUGAUGGGGUCAGCGCAAGCGAAGCUCUUGAUCGAAGCCCCGGUAAACGGCGGCCGUAACUAUAACGGUCCUAAGGUAGCGAAAUUCCUUGUCGGGUAAGUUCCGACCUGCACGAAUGGCGUAAUGAUGGCCAGGCUGUCUCCACCCGAGACUCAGUGAAAUUGAACUCGCUGUGAAGAUGCAGUGUACCCGCGGCAAGACGGAAAGACCCCGUGAACCUUUACUAUAGCUUGACACUGAACAUUGAGCCUUGAUG
rnacentral:rRNA from 1 species